UGGUUAAGAUGGGAUUUGACAGGAACAACCUUACUGAGUCUCUUCGCAAUAGAGUUCAAAAUGAGGGCACUGUUGCAUACUAUCUGCUCCUGGACAAUCGCCAUCGUGUUUCCACUGGCUAUCUUGGAGCUGAAUUUCAGGAGUCCAUGGAAUAUGGUUACAACCGGAUCAAUUCUAAUGAAACCGCUGCUUCCCCUGUUGGUCAACGUUUCCCAGGAAUAAUGGAUUAUCAGCAAGCUGGUGCAAGACAGUUCCCCAUUGAAAGAAAAUGGGCUCUUGGCCUCCAGUCUCGAGCGCAUCCACGUGAAAUAAUGACUGAAGUUUUGAAAGCUCUGCAAGAACUGAAUGUAUGUUGGAAAAAGAUUGGUCAGUAUAACAUGAAAUGUCGAUGGGUUCCUAGCUUACCUGGUCAUCAUGAAGGCAUGGGUGUUAAUUCCAUGCAUGGGAAUCAGUUCUUUGGAGAUGAUUCAUCCAUCAUUGAGAAUGAUGGGGCCACAAAGUUAACAAAUGUGGUCAAGUUUGAAGUUCAGCUUUACAAAACCAGGGAGGAGAAGUACUUGCUUGACCUUCAGAGACUUCAGGGUCCACAAUUCCUCUUCCUGGAUCUCUGUGCUGCUUUUCUUGCUCAGCUUCGAGUACUUUAAAGUCUCCGAAAUAAGGAGCUAAGUUGGAAAAAGCCCAUGCUUGUAUAUAAUUGGUAUACCAGCUCAGUUACUGCAUUUUGUCUUGUUAACAAAUUCCACCCUGCUUGGUCAGAGGUGCCUAGCAACUCUUUUUUUCUUUUGAUUCGCUAGGAGAUCUAGCUCACUCUCUUUUUUAACGUUUAUGGAAUUUCAG
rnacentral:misc_RNA from 1 species